AGUGAACGCUGGCGGUAGGCCUAACACAUGCAAGUCGAACGGCAGCACAGGAGAGCUUGCUCUCUGGGUGGCGAGUGGCGGACGGGUGAGGAAUACAUCGGAAUCUACUUUUUCGUGGGGGAUAACGUAGGGAAACUUACGCUAAUACCGCAUACGACCUACGGGUGAAAGCAGGGGACCUUCGGGCCUUGCGCGAUUGAAUGAGCCGAUGUCGGAUUGGCUAGGUGGCGGGGAAAAGGCCCACAACGGCGACGAUGCGUAGCUGGUCUGAGAGGAUUAGCAGCGACACUGGCACGGAGACACGGUGCAGACUCCUACGGGAGGCAGCAGGGGGGAAUAUUGGACAAUGGGCGCAAUGCUGAUCCAGCCAUACCGCGGGGGUGAAGAAGGCCUUCGGGUUGUAAAGCCCUUUUGUUGGGAAAGAAAUCCAGCUGGCUAAUACCCGGUUGGGAUGACGGUACCCAAAGAAUAAGCACCGGCUAACUUCGUGCCAGCAGCCGCCGCGG
rnacentral:rRNA from 1 species